AUCACUUCUCAGCCUUUUGUCUAAGAUCGAGUGUAGUAUGUUAUUAGUUUAAUAUCUGAUACGUCCUCUAUCUGAGGACAAUUAUUUUACAUGAAUUUCUGGAACUAGGAGAUGGAACAGAAGUUUGCUCCAUCCAUUCCACACAUCGACCUGGUAUUACAGUACUUCCAGGAUCAGUGCACAAAAA